rnacentral:tRNA from 1 species
UGGCUCAGUGAUGGAGCACUUGCUUAACAUGCACGAGACCCUGGGUUCAAUUCCCAG